rnacentral:ncRNA from 1 species
CCGUGAAGGUUCGCCCAAACGCGAUUAAUUGGGAAUGGAGUGAGAAUCUCCAACUGUCCCGCAGCAGUGAGCACCCUUAUAGCCUUGUGACACAAGAGCCAUUGCCUGAUUAGACGAGAAGGCGUUGCAAGGAGGUGUAAGUCUGAAGACCAGCCUUAUCCGG